CUUAACAGGGCGGUAAGUCAGUAACGGCAGACCCGAAACCGGGUGACCUACCCAUGGCCAGGAUGAAGUCUGCGUAAAAGUGGAUGGAGGUCCGAACACACGUCUGUUGAAAAAGGCGGUGAUGAGCUGUGGGUAGCGGAGAAAUUCCAAUCGAACUCGGAGAUAGCUGGUUCUCCCCGAAAUAGCUUUAGGGCUAGCCUCGGUAUAGUCUAAUGGAGGUAGAGCACUGAAUCGCUGCGGGGGCGUCAAAGUCUACCAAUGCGUAUCAAACUCCGAAUGCCAUAUAGAUGUUUACCGGGAGUCAGACUGUAUGAGAUAAGUCGGACAGUCAAAAGGGAAACAGCCCAGACCAUCUGCUAAGGUCCCAAAGUGUAUGUUAAGUGGUAAAGGAUGUGGGGUUUCGAAGACAACUAGGAUGUUGGCUCAGAAGCAGCCAUUCAUUCAAAGAGUGCGUAAUAGCUCACUAGUCGAGAGGUCCUGCGCCGAAAAUGUCCGGGGCUGAAACAUAACACCGAAGCAAUGGAAUAUACCGUAAGGUAUGUUGGUAGGGGAGCAUUGAUAACACGAAGAAGCGAUAUCGUAAGGAGUCGUGGAGAGUUAUCAAGAGAGAAUGCCGGAAUGAGUAGCGAGAUGAAGGUGAGAAUCCUUCAGGCCGUAUAUCCAAGGUUUCCAGGGUAAAGCUGAUCUUCCCUGGGGAAGUCGGGACCUAAGCUCAGGCUGAGAAGCGUAGGCGAUGGACAACUGGUUGAUAUUCCAGUACCUCUGGCUGUCAGAAAUGUGGGGACACGGAAAUUCAGGAAGUGCCUGUAAAGGAUUCAGGUGCAAGCAUGGUUUAUGCCGGGCAGGCAAAUCCGCCCGGGUAAGUGGACUGUGUGACGCGGACCGAAAUAUAAGUAGGGAAGCUUCUGGGAGAGCCGUCGAGAAAAGCCGCUAUUGUGCAGCCAGAGCCCGUACCGUAAACCGACACAGGUGGAUGGGGAGAGUAUCCCAAGGCCGGCGGGAGAAGCAUUGUUAAGGAACUCGGCAAAAUGGCCCCGUAAGUUCGCGAUAAGGGGUGCCUGUAGAGAUACAGGCCGCAGAGAAUAGGCUCAAGCAACUGUUUAGCAAAAACACAGGUCUAUGCGAAACCGUAAGGUGAAGUAUAUGGGCUGACGCCUGCCCGGUGCCGGAAGGUUAAGAGGAGAAGUCAGGAAACGAAGCUUUGAAUUGAAGCCCCGGUAAACGGCGGCCGUAACUAUAACGGUCCUAAGGUAGCGAAAUUCCUUGUCGGGUAAGUUCCGACCCGCACGAAAGGCGUAAUGAUUUGAGCGCUGUCUCAACAAUGCACCCGGUGAAAUUGAAGUACCAGUGAAGAUGCUGGU
rnacentral:rRNA from 1 species